AGAGUUUGAUCCUGGCUCAGGAUGAACGCUGGCGGCGUGCCUAACACAUGCAAGUUGAGCGAUUUACUUCGGUAAAGAGCGGCGGACGGGUGAGUAACGCGUGGGUAACCUACCCUGUACACACGGAUAACAUACCGAAAGGUAUGCUAAUACGGGAUAAUAUAUUUGAGAGGCAUCUCUUAAAUAUCAAAGGUGAGCCAGUACAGGAUGGACCCGCGUCUGAUUAGCUAGUUGGUAAGGUAACGGCUUACCAAGGCGACGAUCAGUAGCCGACCUGAGAGGGUGAUCGGCCACAUUGGAACUGAGACACGGUCCAAACUCCUACGGGAGGCAGCAGUGGGGAAUAUUGCACAAUGGGCGAAAGCCUGAUGCAGCAACGCCGCGUGAGUGAUGAAGGCCUUCGGGUCGUAAAACUCUGUCCUCAAGGAAGAUAAUGACGGUACUUGAGGAGGAAGCCCCGGCUAACUACGUGCCAGCAGCCGCGGUAAUACGUAGGGGGCUAGCGUUAUCCGGAUUUACUGGGCGUAAAGGGUGCGUAGGCGGUCUUUCAAGUCAGGAGUGAAAGGCUACGGCUCAACCGUAGUAAGCUCUUGAAACUGGGAGACUUGAGUGCAGGAGAGGAGAGUGGAAUUCCUAGUGUAGCGGUGAAAUGCGUAGAUAUUAGGAGGAACACCAGUUGCGAAGGCGGCUCUCUGGACUGUAACUGACGCUGAGGCACGAAAGCGUGGGGAGCAAACAGGAUUAGAUACCCUGGUAGUCCACGCUGUAAACGAUGAGUACUAGGUGUCGGGGGUUACCCCCUUCGGUGCCGCAGCUAACGCAUUAAGUACUCCGCCUGGGAAGUACGCUCGCAAGAGUGAAACUCAAAGGAAUUGACGGGGACCCGCACAAGUAGCGGAGCAUGUGGUUUAAUUCGAAGCAACGCGAAGAACCUUACCUAAGCUUGACAUCCCAAUGACAUCUCCUUAAUCGGAGAGUUCCCUUCGGGGACAUUGGUGACAGGUGGUGCAUGGUUGUCGUCAGCUCGUGUCGUGAGAUGUUGGGUUAAGUCCCGCAACGAGCGCAACCCUUGUCUUUAGUUGCCAUCAUUAAGNUUUUUUGUAAAAUAGUAACUUUUUGAGAUAAUUUUUCUUUAUUUUAUGUUAUAAUUGGUAAAAUAUGUUAUUAUAUGUGUUUUCUACUAAAAUAAAGUAAUUUUUCCAUAACAAAAUGACUGCCAAAAAGGCAGUCAUUCUAGACUUUUCUUAGGUAUACAAUACACCUAGGACUCUUUUUGGCAACUGGCUGACAUAGUUCAUGUAUACAAACCUUAGUCCCUAUAGCUUUGCGUCACUAGAUUUCUCUAGAUUUGCCUAUUUAGUUUUAACUUAAGUAUACAAUAAAUAACAAAUUUUUUAAAUAUUUUUUUAAGUAUUUUUUCUAUAUAAUUUUUUAAUUUAAUUUUUAAUAUUAAUUUUUAUAAUAUUUUUAAUAUAUUUAUAUUUAUAACAUUUAAUUUAUAUAAUGUACAUAUAUAUUAAAAAUAUACAAAAAUUUACAAUAUAAAAUAAAUUUAUUCUAAGUUUGUCUUUUACAAUAAUUUCAUUAAGACCAUAUAUUCUAACAUUACUUUCCAAUUAUAUGCUUAGGAGUACAUAUCUAUUUAAAGUUUUCCCUUUUAUUUUCACUUUUAGGGAUAAAAAAUUUGUAAUUUUCUCUACUUUUGAUAAAUUUUAUUUUAGACUGGUUAUAUAGGAAUACAGUCUAAAAUGUUGUAUAGAGUAACAAAAUAAAUUUAAAAAAGGUCAAACUUUAAUUAAUUUGCCCUUUAUUAUCUUAUAUUUAUUAAAAUUGAUAAUUUUUUAACUCCUUCUUAAGCCUAAAUUUAUCUAAUUAUCAAUUAAUUUUAACUAAAUAUGGUUAUUCAAAACGUAUUCUAAUACAUUAGUAUGUAUUUUUUCACCACAACUUCCAUCUGUAUUUGAUAGUACACUAUUUAAAGAAUUUAAUCUUUGAUUUAGCUUAUAAUCAUUAUUAUUUUUUACUAAGUUCAUAAAUUUUAUUAAAUCCAUAUCUUCUUCUCCUACUAUAUAAUUUGAAAAUAUAUCGAAUAUUCUUGAAUCAUAAUAUCCACGUUCCAUAUCUAUAUCAUAAAUUAAUAUAGGUUUCUUCGUUUGAAUAUAUUCUAUUAAUACAGAAGACCUAUCCGUUAUUAAAGCAUGGGAUAAGUUGAAUGAUUCAUAGUAAGAUACAGAGUCAUCUAAAAUAAUAUUAUUUUUUAUAGAUAUUGAAUCUAGCAAAGUUUUGUAUCUAUUAAAACAUUCUGGAACUUUAGAUUUUACAUACUCAAGUUCUAAUGGAUGUGGUCUAUAUAUAAGACCAUACUCUUGACUAUUUUCAAUAAUAUCAAAUACAUUUUCAAUCUCAUCAAUGACACCAUCUUUUCCAUUAGGUAUUUUCAUUAGAUUAGUUGUCCAUAAGAAAAUUAUUUUACCCUUUAAUUUAGAUUCAUAAUCUUUAUUUAUAUUAUUCUGUUUUAAAUUGUAAAUUAAAGAAUCAAAUUUUGGAGAUCCCAUUGUUAGUAUUUGAUUUUUAUUUAUACCACUACAUUCUGCUAUAAUUUCAAAUGCAGGAGAUUGCACAAUAACCUUAUCAAAAUUUCUAGAUGCUAUCAGUUCAUAAAAAUUUAAGUAAAAACUAACAGGAUAAGUUCCAAGUAUUCCAUAAGCAACAUAUACAAGCAUAUUAGUAUAUUGUUUCAAGUUAUAAGAAAAAUAAUUACUAUCUACCAUUGUAGCAUUGUUACAAUCAUCAUAUUGAUUAUGAACAUAUAUUAUAUCAGGCUUCUCCUUAGAUAAAUCAAAAUCAUCAUAAUGUAUUAUUGGAACAUAUUCAGGAAAAUCAUUACCUUCAUAUGUAUAUAUUUGAGUUAUACCAUUAGGCGUAUCAAUUAACUUGUAAUAAGGUAUGGGAACUACAUAGCAGUCACACUGCUCAUCCAAAACCGCAGAUUUCCAGAUACUUUCUAAGCUAUUCCACAUUUUAGCAUUAUAAGGCAUAAAUACAAUUUUAGUUUUUUUAUUUAGACUAUUUUCUAUUAUAUUUGAUAAAUAGUUUAAAUUACUUAUGAUAAAUUCACAAUCUUCAACAAGUCUUAUAUUUUUAUACAUGGAAAGUCUUAAAAUUUUUACAUAAGUUUCAUCAAUUAAAUUCAACAGGUUUUUGUUGCUUCUUCCAGAGUUAUUUAUAUAUUUUUUCAUAUAAUUAAUAGCU
rnacentral:rRNA from 1 species